AUAAAUGUACCCCUUGGCCAAAACACUUCCUUACUCUUUUCAGAGUCAUGUUAAUAUCUUUAAACUGUGUUGAAAAGCUAAGUUUGGGGUAAAACCCCAAAGAGUUCCAAACGCCCAAGAAAGUGCGAAAACAAAAAGAGAAAAAAAAUUGAAAUAGGAAAUCAUCGAGAAAAAGGGAAAAAGAAUUAUUAUAAAUAAACUCGAAGAUUCAAAAGAAGUACGAAAAAGGGCACUCAGUUGAAAAAUAGAAAGAAAAAAAGAGAAAACCGAGCGAAAAAACAAAAGAAACCA
rnacentral:lncRNA from 1 species